UUUUAGCCGUGACCGAAGUGGAAAGCCUUUUUUUAUAAAAUUGUAUUUUUUUCGAGGGUGAAAAGAGCGACUGCAAGAAGCUCCUUUUGAGCCGUAGAAAAAAACAAUUUUAGGAAAAAGCUUGAAACGAAGGGCGCGAUAAGCU
rnacentral:sRNA from 3 species